UGGGGAAUAUUGCACAAUGGGCGCAAGCCUGAUGCAGCCAUGCCGCGUGUGUGAAGAAGGCCUUCGGGUUGUAAAGCACUUUCAGCGGGGAGGAAGGCGAUAAGGUUAAUAACCUUGUCGAUUGACGUUACCCGCAGAAGAAGCACCGGCUAACUCCGUGCCAGCAGCCGCGGUAAUACGGAGGGUGCAAGCGUUAAUCGGAAUUACUGGGCGUAAAGCGCACGCAGGCGGUCUGUCAAGUCGGAUGUGAAAUCCCCGGGCUUAACCUGGGAACUGCAUUCGCAACUGGCAUGCUAGAGUCUUGUAGAGGGGGGUAUAAUUCCAGGUGUAGCGGUGAAAUGCGUAGAGAUCUGGAGGAAUACCGGUGGCGGAGGCGGCCCCCUGGACAAAGACUGACGCUCAGGUGCGAAAGCGUGGGGAGCAAACAGG
rnacentral:rRNA from 1 species